GGGGGUGACACAAUGACAGAGUGAGGGAGGGGGUGACUACUGACAGAGUGAAGGAAGUGGUCACUGUCACUAGUCACCUCAUCCCUCACUCUGUCACUAGUCACCCCCUCCCUCACUCUGUCACUAGAGUGAGGGGGUGACUAGUGACAGAGUGAGGGGGUGACAAGUGACAGAGUGAGGGAAGGGGUGACUAGUGGCAGAGUGAGGGAAGGAAGGGGUGACUAGUGACAGAGUGAGGGGAUGACUGGUGACAGAGAGGGAGGUGGUGACUGUCACUAGUCACCCCAUCCCACCCUCUGUCACUAGUCACUCCCUCCCUAACUCUGUCACUAGUCAUCCCUUCACUCUGUCACUAGUCACCCCCUCCCUCUGUCAUUGUGUCACCCCAUCCCUCCCUCUGUCACUGUGUCACUCCAUCCCUCCCUCUGUCACUAGUCACUCACUCUAGUGA